UACGUAGGAGGCAAGCGUUGUCCGGAAUUACUGGGCGUAAAGCGCGUGUAGGUGGUGGGACAAGUCUGCUGUGAAAGCGCCUGGCUUAACCGGGCGAGGUCGGCGGAAACUGUCCGACUAGAGGACGGUAGAGGGGGGUGGAAUUCCGCGUGUAGCAGUGAAAUGCGUAGAUAUGCGGAGGAACACCGAUGGCGAAGGCAAUCCCCCUGGACCUGUACUGACGCUCAUGCACGAAAGCGUGGGGAGCAAACAGG
rnacentral:rRNA from 1 species